UGUCUGUUUUGUAGCUGGAAGAGGUUGUUUAGACAUUUAGUUGGUCCAAAGACCUUUUACUCUUUUUCCUAUAGAAAGGCAAUUCACCGUCCCCUCCAGUCAUAGGUAAGAAUUUGGUGUAGGACAGUUUGGCUGCUUGCUCUUGCCAGAGGAGCAAGUCACGCUUUGUGGUGCAUCAGCUUAUGGAAGACCAUAUCAAACUACAUGCAAACUACUAAAUUAUUAUUUAUACCCUAAUUACUUAUUGGACCAAAAUUAUAGAAUUGGGUAGGUUUGAAGGUUGGAAAAGAAUGUUACAAAAAAGAUGGGGGAGAGAAAGUUCAGGAAGAGGCAUACAGUGGGAUAAAACUUCUCAUUGACACUUUCAAGCUGUGGAACUGCCCCGUGAGAGUAGCAUGCUCAAUUAAAGGCUGGAGUUCGAUGUGCUUGCUUAUGUUGAGUAAGCACUCUGAUCCUGUUGAUCACAGCGUUUAACCACCGUAACGCUCUCACCUUGCCCCUUUCACAAAAAUAUGUUCAGAUCCUGUCACUGAAGUAUUACUUGGGAGUACGAAUGCUUCCCUUGGUGCCAUCAGCUGUUCCCUCAAACGAAGCCAAUAUGAAGAGCUUCCAGUGCUUAUUGCCUGUGUCUGGAAAGAUCUUGUUUGAAGGUUUGGACCACUGUGGUCUGCACUCGUAUUUGUGUGUGCUGAGGCAUGGAGAUGGCCCCAGAGCACCCAGCCUUCUGCCGUUGUCUCCUCCCAGCUCUGAACAGAGGGUUUCCUAAACGGUUUUCUAACAGCAAUGAGUGAGAAGAAGAGCCGCUUUUCUGCAAUCCUGGUGCAGAGACAGAGGGUCGUGGCUGCAUCUACACCUACUCCCUUCUGAGGAUAAAGCACAAGGUGACUAACAAAAAGCUGUAUCACCCACUUUUUGGAGCUCGAGCGCGCACCUUCUCGAAAAGCCUGCAGAGCCUAAUAAUUCAUUGCACAUUUUUACAGAUCUGACUUGCGUUUUUUCUGCUGUGGCAGAAUGGACAAGCCGGUGCUCAACCCCCCAAGUGAUCGGGGCUUCAGGCACAGGUCGGGGUAGGCAGCGGGCACCCAACAGCAUCCGCUUCCCAAACUGCCGCCCCAAGACCCCCCCAUCCUGGAGGGGUGACAGUGCUCGGGGCGAGGAGCCGCCGUACCUGUCCUCAACAUGCAUGGGGCAUUGUGCGAGCCUGCCUUCCUCCAUCCAUCCCUUUGGAUUCAGUUCCCGCACAGCAGCAAGACCAGGGCUGUAUUACAAGCAUUUAAAAUUGUGAAAAAUUUUGUCGCAUGCAUAUGUAUUUUUAACGGCUUUGAGUUCGGUUUUGGGGGUUGAAAUUGGUUUCCUACCCAAGGUUUCAGCGCUCUGCUUGACUCAAGCUGGCCUGGGAGCCUCGACUGGCAUUUGCAGUUACAGCAUUCUCAGUCGACAGCAGGAGACCAUUUGCAUGUUUUGCUCUCAUUCCUUCCAUCUUCGUGUCUGGAAAGCAGAUCACUUUCUGGGAAACGGUAAGUGGCACUGAGAACAGCAGAAUAAAGAAACUGGGGGCAGGUUUUCUCCGUUCGCAGGAAAAAGUUAAUAAAUGAUCUGACAGGAUGGAGUGGUAUGAACAUAAGUCCCUUUUGAUCUUCACUGCUGGCUUACAAAUCAUGUGAAUUUAAACAAACUCGAUUAUACCUCAACCUAUUAGUGAUACGUGCUGUUGUUACAGGUCUUUUGCAUUUCUGUUUAUAAAGCCCUAUUUAACAUACAACAGUCAAACUGUCAUCAGACAGCCAGAGAUUCAUUGUUCAAACCACGGUUCAUCACAUAUCUUGUAUCUUCCUAGACACUUCUAGGUUUGUAUACGAAUCUUUAUUGUUCGCUAACGAGAGUUGUGGGGAUUUGCAAAAGUGAGAUCUCGUUCACCUUGGCAUUGAUGAAAUGU